rnacentral:rRNA from 1 species
GGGCUCACACAAGCGGUGGAGCAUGUUGCUUAAUUCGAGGCAACGCGAAGAACCUUACCUGGGUUUGACAUGCACGGAUUAACUUUAUGAAAGUAGAGCCACACUCGCAAGAGUGGAACGUGCACAGGUGCUGCAUGGCUGUCGUCAGCUCGUGCUGUGAAGUGUCGGGUUAAGUCCCUUAACGAGCGCAACCCCUAUCGUUAGUUGCCACCAGGUCAUGCUGAGCACUCUAACGAGACUGCCGGCGUUAAGCCGGAGGAAGGUGGGGAUGACGUCAAGUCCUCAUGGCCCUUACAUCCAGGGUUGCAAACGUGCUACAAUGGUGCAGACAGAGCGAUGCAAGAGCGCAAGCUGGAGCAAAUCGCAAAAACUGCACCCCAGUUCGGAUUGUCGGCUGCAACCCGCCGGCAUGAAGUCGGAAUCGCUAGUAAUCGGGGAUCAGCUACGCCCCGGUGAAUAAGUUCCUGAGCCUU